UAUAUAAAAAAUUAUUAAUAAUAGAUUAUAGAAAAAACUUUUGUUUAUUAUUUAAAUAGAAAAAUUAUUUUUAAUUAUAGUUAAUUAGUAAAGUGAUUGAAUUUAAAAAUAUUUAUGAAAGAAAAAUUUAUUUUUUGUACCUUGUGCAUCAGGGCUGAUUAAUUGUAUUUUAUUUAAAAUAAUUUUCUCGAAUUUUAAAGAGUUAAUUAGUUAUUAAUUUAAAUGUGAAAUAAUUUUUUAUAAUAAUUAAUUAGAAGUGAAAUGCUAUUCGAUUUUUAAGAUAUCUAGUUUUUUAAGAAAAGAAUUUAAUUCUAUUAUUAUUUAUUUAAAUUUUAAUUUUUAAGGUUUAAGUUUUAAUAUUAAAAAUUUAAUGGGAUGAUCUUUUAAAUUUAAAAUUAAAAAUUUUUUAAAAUUUAAUUUUUUGUGUAAUUUGAAUUGUUAAUCAUAAAUAAUUUUAUAGUUAGAAAUUAAUAAAUUAAAAUUUAAUUUGUUUUAAUUUUUAUAUUAAAAAUAAAAAUUUAAUUUGAAAUUUUUGUUAUAAUGAUUAGAUUAGUAAUAUAUAAUUUAUUUUGUUAAUAUAAAUUAAGGUUAAAAAAAGGAAUUUGGCAAAAAAUUUUCUGCCUGUUUAUUAAAAACAUGUCCUUUUGAAAAUUAUUUAAGGUCUAAUCUGCUCAAUGAAAAAUUAAAUAGCCGCAGUAUUUUAACUGUGCGAAGGUAGCGUGAUAAUUAGUUUCUUAAUUAGAAACUUGUAUGAAUGAUUUGACAAGAAAAUUUCUGUCUCUUUUUAAUUAUUUAUUAAUUUAACUUUUAAGUUAAAAGGCUUAAAUGUUUAUAAAAGACGAGAAGACCCCAUAGAGUUUGAUUUUUUAUGUUAUUUUGGAAUAACUUUUGUAUUUAAAAAAAUUAGUUGGGGUAACUUAAAGAUAAAAUAAAUUCUUUAAAUAUAAAAUCAUUGAUUUAUGAAUUUAAAAUCUAAAUUAUUAAAUUUAAAUAAAGUUACCUUGGGGAUAACAGCGUAAUUUCUUUUUAGAGUUCUUAUCAAAGAAGAAGAUUGCGACCUCGAUGUUGGAUUAAAAUAAAAUUUAGGUGUAGAAGCUUAAAUGUUAAGUCUGUUCGACUUUUAAAAUUUUACAUGAUCUGAGUUUAAACCGGUGUAAGCCAGGUUGGUUUCUAUCUUUAUAAAAUUAUUAUGUUUUAGUACGAAAGGACCAAACAUAGAAUAUAUUACUUUAAUUUUGAAUU
rnacentral:rRNA from 1 species